rnacentral:rRNA from 1 species
UACAGAGGGUGCAAGCGUUGCUCGGAUUUACUGGGCGUAAAGCGUACGCAGACGGUAAGAAAGGUCGGAUGUGAAAGCCCCGGGCUCAACCCUGGAACUGCAUCCGAAACCAUCUUGCUAGAGUAUGGGAGAGGAAAGUGGAAUUCCUGGUGUAGAGGUGAAAUUCGUAGAUAUCAGGAGGAACACCGGUGGCGAAGGCGGGUCUCUGGGCCGAUACUGACGCUGAGGAGCGAAAGCGUGGGGAGCGAACAGG